GAUGAACGCUGGCGGCGUGCCUAAUACAUGCAAGUCGAGCGAACGGACGAGAAGCUUGCUUCUCUGAUGUUAGCGGCGGACGGGUGAGUAACACGUGGAUAACCUACCUAUAAGACUGGGAUAACUUCGGGAAACCGGAGCUAAUACCGGAUAAUAUUUUGAACCGCAUGGUUCAAAAGUGAAAGACGGUCUUGCUGUCACUUAUAGAUGGAUCCGCGCUGCAUUAGCUAGUUGGUAAGGUAACGGCUUACCAAGGCAACGAUGCAUAGCCGACCUGAGAGGGUGAUCGGCCACACUGGAACUGAGACACGGUCCAGACUCCUACGGGAGGCAGCAGUAGGGAAUCUUCCGCAAUGGGCGAAAGCCUGACGGAGCAACGCCGCGUGAGUGAUGAAGGUCUUCGGAUCGUAAAACUCUGUUAUUAGAGAAGAACAUAUGUGUAAGUAACUGUGCACAUCUUGACGGUACCUAAUCAGAAAGCCACGGCUAACUACGU
rnacentral:rRNA from 1 species